GAGAAAGAGCGCAUCUCUGUCUGAGAGCAUUAGCAGCGAGCCUGUUCUCUGUAUCUCAAUGAGGGGAUUAGAGGACUAUUCAUUAGACAGGCUUUGAUAGGUGACUGGCCGAGUCCAUCCACUGCUGCUGCUCGUGUACUGCCAGACAGCAAGGCCAGGGGGUAAUGGAGGAAGCCCGGUCUCUAGUGUCUCUCUGUCUUCAUCCUCCUUUGUCUCUGGCAGCUCUGUCUCGUCCCUUUCAACAUCUUUGGGAAGAGAUUUUUUGAUGCAGUCAAACCCUGCAGCCUAUCAUUGGAGAAGGCAGAAGUGAGGUGGCUGCUGUUUUCUCUGCUGUCCUUUUUCACAUCCCUCCGUGUUCAAUCUGAUGGGAGGCAUCACUCCAGGAAAAUGGCGAUUGAGAAAUACCCCCAUCUGUCAGUGUUGGAUGUUUUUUCUGACUAGUCAUAGGCUUUGAAUGCAGCGUGGAGCAUCAGUGAGGCGAAUGGAAAGAUAACAUUUGCCUGAGUAAGCCUGUGCUCGCCAUUGAUUGUGACAUACAUUUUUUAUUUCCCUACAAAAAAUCCCCCCUGAAGUUUGCUGAAAGCACACACUCUGUUCACUGUUCAUAAGAUGAUAAGAAAAGACAACUUCAUGUGGGUAAAAGGACAGAAAGUGACAAGUUUGUGUGUGUGCGCGCAUGUGGCAAAGAAUCUUUUAAAGCAGGCCACAGGGACGGAAAAAAGAUAUUCAUCCUCUCCACUCCCAUCUCCUCCUCUUCAUCUCCUUUCCCACCCCCUAUUUCUCUUAUUUUCUCUGGUGGGCUCAAUAAUAUAGGCUUGGGCCAUGGGACAAGGAGAGAGUAAGAGAAGGAGGGAGGAGAAGCUGUCAGUUGAUGAAGAAGAGGAGAAAGCAAGGGAUGAGGAGAGGAGGGAGCUGGGGACUCGUUUUGAUCCCUGCCUCUUAAUAAAUCUGUCAGAGCGAGACAGAAAGAGAGCACGAGAGAUAGAGCCAGAUAGGAAGAGAGAGCGAGAGAUGGAUCUGUCCGCAGAGGUCUUCACCAGGUGGUUUGAAGUGCAGAUCCAUUUCUCCUCCUCCUCCUCCUUGAUGUAGCACUCUAUGGAUUCUCCCUGCAUUCAUUUACCUGUUGUUUUGAACUUCAUAUGUAUGAAUGUGACGAUGGAGGAAAGUAUUUUGAUGUGUCUUACCUGGUGGGCACACAUGUACACUCAAAAAAUGUCUCAUAUUUUUGCUGUUUACAAGGAUUUUGUAUUAAAGUUGAGUCAAAAUAUCA